CCUACGGGGCGCAGCAGUAGGGAAUCUUCCACAAUGGACGAAAGUCUGAUGGAGCAACGCCGCGUGAGUGAAGAAGGGUUUCGGCUCGUAAAGCUCUGUUGGUAGUGAAGAAAGAGAGAGGUAGUAACUGGCCUUUAUUUGACGGUAAUUACUUAGAAAGUCACGGCUAACUACGUGCCAGCAGCCGCGGUAAUACGGAGGGGGCAAGCGGUGUCCGGAUUUAUUGGGCGUAAAGCGAGUGCAGGCGGGUCAAAGA
rnacentral:rRNA from 1 species